GGUGUUUGGAAGCUUGAAGUUCCCUACAAAGUGAACAGUGGUUUCAAAAAAUCCACCUUGUUCUGCUAAUUCUUCCUUCCAUAGCAAACACUUCAGCCAUCAUUGCUCUGGAGCCAGGGAAGGUGAGACGUGUUGCCUUCAUGUGUGGAUCCUGGAACCAGUGCCAUGCAGCAUGCUUCAGGAGAGGCAUAACAGGUGCAGCUCUGGCAACAAAGAUGUGAAAUCAAAUGUGAAAGAUGAGUGUUGAAAAUCACAGGGGACAUAGGGACCAGCACCCUCUGAGCCUGUGAAUGGUGGAUCCUCUUGGUCUGAAGGACAGGAGCCACAGACAGCUUGCUGAGAGUGAGAAACUUUUAGAGAAAAGCAGCUGGCCAGCUUGACAAGUGGAAACUGUAGUUUUGUCAUUAAUGUGCAAUGCUGAAACAAUGAUGUAUGGCUGGCGAUAGAUCAUGUUGGGUUUCCGGAGAGCAGGGAAGACUAAAGCAUGUGCCUAAUCCAUGAUGCAUGAACACAUUGAUCUUCCUGGCUCUGAAAAUACAGGGUAAUGAACCCCCACUAACACAUCAUUUUUAUGCCACUGCACCUCACUAAUAUCUAAUUUCACCUUCCACCGUGAUAAAAUAUAAUUGUAUGGGAGUUCCUGCUUUGUUCUUUAAUACCAGAAUAGCUGUUUUGCUCUACAGCUAUUGGUGUGUUGAGACUGAAACGUACAAAACCAAUUAUUAGGAUCAGAUGCAUAUUUAAAGUACUGCAUAUAAGUGUGUAUAUAGAGAGCUUGUAUGUGAGGUACAUAACUGUGAUAUAUGUGCACAUAUCGUAACUGAAACAGCUGAAAGAUGAAAUAAAAUUGUAAAGAUGCUCAA